rnacentral:rRNA from 1 species
UACCUGCAGCUCGAGUGGUGGCCGCUAUUAUUGGGCCUAAAACGUCCGUAGCCGGUUUAAUAAAUGCCUGGGUAAAUCGUGUAGCUUAACUAUACGAAUUCCGGGUAGACUGUUGGACUUGAGACCGGGAGAAGCUAGAGGUACUCCUGGGGUAGAGGUGAAAUUCUGUAAUCCUAGGGGGACCACCAGUGGCGAAGGCGUCUAGCUAGAACGGGUCUGACGGUGAGGGACGAAGCCCUGGGGCGCAAACCGGAUUAGAUACCCGGGUAGUCCAGGGUGUAAACGCUGCUUGCUUGAUGUUAGUUGGGCUCUGAGCCCAAUUGGUGUCGGAGAGAAGUUGUUAAGCAAGCUGCCUGGGAAGUACGGUCGCAAGACUGAAACUUAAAGGAAUUGGCGGGGAGCACAGCAACGGGUGGAGCGUGCGGUUU